UACGGAGGAUCCAAGCGUUAUCCGGAUUUAUUGGGUUUAAAGGGUGCGUAGGCGGCCUGUUAAGUCAGGGGUGAAAGACGGUAGCUCAACUAUCGCAGUGCCCUUGAUACUGAUGGGCUUGAAUGAACUAGAGGUAGGCGGAAUGUGACAAGUAGCGGUGAAAUGCAUAGAGAUGUCGCAGAACACCGAUUGCGAAGGCAGCUCACUGAGCUAUGAUUGACGCUGAGGCUCGAAAGCGUGGGGAUCAAACGGG
rnacentral:rRNA from 1 species